rnacentral:rRNA from 1 species
AACGAACGCUGGCGGCAUGCCUAACACAUGCAAGUCGAACGAUACCUUCGGGUCUAGUGGCGCACGGGUGCGUAACGCGUGGGAAUCUGCCCUUUGCUUCGGAAUAACAGUUAGAAAUGACUGCUAAUACCGGAUGAUGUCGAAAGACCAAAGAUUUAUCGGCAAAGGAUGAGCCCGCGUAGGAUUAGGUAGUUGGUGGGGUAAAGGCCUACCAAGCCGACGAUCCUUAGCUGGUCUGAGCGGAUGAUCAGCCACACUGGCACUGAGACACGGCCCAGACUCCUACGGGAGGCAGCAGUGGGGAAUAUUGGACAAUGGGCGAAAGCCUGAUCCAGCACUGCCGCGUGAGUGAUGAAGGCCUUAGGGUUGUAAAGCUCUUUUACCAGGGAUGAUAAUGACAGUACCUGGAGAAUAAGCUCCGGCUAACUCCGUGCCAGCCGCCGCUGUAACAC